rnacentral:rRNA from 1 species
ANNGCUNCAUGCAGUCGAGCGGAACGCACUAACAAUCCUUCGGGUGCGUUAAUGGGCGUCGAGCGGCGGACGGGUGAGUAAUGCCUAGGAAAUUGCCUUGAUGUGGGGGAUAACCAUUGGAAACGAUGGCUAAUACCGCAUAAUGCCUACGGGCCAAAGAGGGGGACCUUCGGGCCUCUCGCGUCAAGAUAUGCCUAGGUGGGAUUAGCUAGUUGGUGAGGUAAUGGCUCACCAAGGCGACGAUCCCUAGCUGGUCUGAGAGGAUGAUCAGCCACACUGGAACUGAGACACGGUCCAGACUCCUACGGGAGGCAGCAGUGGGGAAUAUUGCACAAUGGGCGAAAGCCUGAUGCAGCCAUGCCGCGUGUAUGAAGAAGGCCUUCGGGUUGUAAAGUACUUUCAGUUGUGAGGAAGGGGGUANNGUUAAUAGCNCUAUCUCUUGACGUUAGCAACAGAAGAAGCACCGGCUAACUCCGUGCCAGCCGCCGCCGGUAAUNCAANNNNC